rnacentral:rRNA from 1 species
ACUACGGGAGGCAGCAGUGGGGAAUAUUGCGCAAUGGGCGAAAGCCUGACGCAGCGACGCCGCGUGAGGGAUGAUGGUCUUCGGAUCGUAAACCUCUGUCAGCAGGGAAGAACGGUCACUGUGCUAAUCAGCAGUGAAUUAACGGUACCCGCAACGGAAGCACCGGCUAACUCCGCGCCAGCAGCCGCGGUAAUACGGGGGGUGCGAGCGUGAAUCGGAUUUACUGGGUGGAAAGGGCGCGUAGGCGGGAAUGCAGGUCAGAUGUGAAAAACCUGGGCUCAACCUGUGGCCUGCAUUUGAAACUGGUGUUCUUGAGUACUGGUGCGGCAGACGGAAUGUGUGGUGUAGCGGUGAAAUGCGUAGAUAUUA